rnacentral:rRNA from 1 species
CCUACGGGGGGCUGCAGUGGGGAAUAUUGGGCAAUGGGCGCAAGCCUGACCCAGCCAUGCCGCGUGCGGGACGAAGGCGCACAGCGUUGUAAACCGCUUUUCUACGGGGAUAAGGCGCUCUUCGGGAGCGAUUGAAGGUACUGUAGGAAUCAGCACCGGCAAACUACGUGCCAGCAGCCGCGGUAAUACGUAGGGUGCAAGCGUUGUCCGGAUUUACUGGGUUUAAAGGGUGCGUAGGCGGGCUGUUAAGUCUGGGAUGAAAUUAUCUCGCUCAA